rnacentral:rRNA from 1 species
GACGAACGCUGGCGGCGUGCUUAACGCAUGCAAGUCGAACGGAAAGGCCCUGCUUUUGUGGGGUGCUCGAGUGGCGAACGGGUGAGUAACACGUGAGUAACCUGCCCUUGACUUUGGGAUAACUUCAGGAAACUGGGGCUAAUACCGGAUAGGAGCUCCUGCUGCAUGGUGGGGUUGGAAAGUUUCGGCGGUUGGGGAUGGACUCGCGGCUUAUCAGCUUGUUGGUGGGGUAGUGGCUUACCAAGGCUUUGACGGGUAGCCGGCCUGAGAGGGUGACCGGCCACAUUGGGACUGAGAUACGGCCCAGACUCCUACGGGAGGCAGCAGUGGGGAAUAUUGCACAAUGGGCGGAAGCCUGAUGCAGCAACGCCGCGUGCGGGAUGACGGCCUUCGGGUUGUAAACCGCUUUCGCCUGUGACGAAGCGUGAGUGACGGUAAUGGGUAAAGAAGCACCGGCUAACUACGUG